UGGGAGAGAUAUACCAUCCUUCAAGUGCCUGAUCCCGUCUGAUCUUGGAAGCUAAGCACAGCUGGACCUGGUUAGUACAUGGAUGGGAGACCACCAUGGAAGACCAGGGCCCGU
rnacentral:rRNA from 12 species